rnacentral:rRNA from 1 species
AACGUAGGUGGCAAGCGUUAUCCGGAAUUACUGGGCGUAAAGGGUGUGCAGGCGGGGGAGCAAGUGGGGUAUGAAAUCUCCCAGCUUAACUGGGAUAGGUUAUGCCAUACUGCUUUUCUAGAGGACGAGAGAGGGGGGUGGAAUUCCGGGUGUAGUGGUGAAAUGCGUAGAGAUCCGGAGGAACCCCAGAGGCGAAGGCGGCCCCCUGGCUCGUACCUGACGCUCAGCCACGAAAGCAUGGGGAGCGAACGGG